ACAAGAACAACAAUGACUUUCAGCAUCAUCUUCAUCUGGACACUCACAGUGUUUGCUCAAGAGUGUAGAGGACAGUACACUGUUACUCAGAGUCCAUCAAUAACAGCAGUUCAACCAGGACAAAGUGUUCAAAUAAACUGUAAAGUCAGCAGUGGAGUGUAUGGUGGUAAUAGAUUACACUGGUACUUACAGAAACCUGGAGAAGCUCCUAAACUCCUCAUAUAUGGAGCAACAAGACUCCAUUCUGGAGUAUCAUCUAGAUUCAGUGGCAGUGGAUCAAACACAGAUUUUACUCUGAGCAUCAGUGGAGUUCAGACUGAAGAUUCAGGAGAUUAUUACUGUCAGAGUUUCCAUUAUCCUAAUAGCAAGUAUGUGUUGACACAGUGAUAAAGAGUCGUACAAAAACCUCCGUCAG